AGUAAAAGUGAAAUUUUGUAUUUUGAUCAAACAACAGGAACACAUUUAUUAAACAUGUAUGCACAAAAAAACAGUUUUGCAACUUAAGAAUCAAUAAUUUUAGCUUCUGACUUUGUUCAAAACUGAGUGAGAAGAAAUUUAAAUUGUUAUUAUUCUUCAAUAUAUUUAUACAUAUAUGAAUAUAAUGAAGACUUUGGACACAUUCACAGCUUUUUUUUUAUCCAAACAGUUUCUGCUGAUAUAUAUGAAUUGUAACAUGAGAGUAAAUUACAGAAAGAGAAAAAGUUUCAUUCAAUAUGAGAACAAAGUUCCUGAAAUUGAAACUGAGUUACAUAAAUUUUAAAGACAUUUAAGCAUAAAUAAAUCCAGAUCUAUCAAGUA